rnacentral:rRNA from 1 species
UGGGGAAUAUUGCGCAAUGGGCGAAAGCCUGACCCAGCAACGCCGCGUGAGGGAUGAAGGCCUUCGGGUCGUAAACCUCUGUCGGGAGGGAAGAACGUCCUCGGGGUGAACAAUCCCGGGGGCUGACGGUACCUCCAAAGGAAGCGCCGGCUAACUCCGUGCCAGCAGCCGCGGUAAUACGGAGGGGGCUAGCGUUGUUCGGAAUUACUGGGCGUAAAGGGCGCGUAGGCGGUAUGUCAAGUCAGGGGUGAAAGGCCUGGGCUCAACCCAGGAAUUGCCUUUGAAACUGGCAAACUAGAGUCCGAAAGAGGAUGGCGGAAUUCCCAGUGUAGAGGUGAAAUUCGUAGAUAUUGGGAAGAACACCGGUGGCGAAGGCGGCCAUCUGGAUCGGCACUGACGCUGAGGCGCGAAAGCGUGGGGAGCAA